CCCGCCCGGCCGUGGCGGAGCCGCCGCCGCGCAGCCCCCGGUGCGGCCCCCGCCCCGCGGGGGGCUCCGGGACUCGGCCCUGGGCAGGGGGCUCCGGGAGCCGCGGUGUGACCGGGGGCGGGAGCACCUCCCUGGCUGGACGUCCCGCCCCAUCUCUGGAAGUGUUCCAGGCCAGGUUGGACGGGGCUUGGAGCAGCCUGGUCUGUGGGAAGGUGUCCCCGCUGCCCAGGGCAGGGAGUGGGAUGAGAUGAAGGUUACGGGCCCUGCCAACCCAAACGUGGUUCUGUGACAGGGACCGGCACCUUAACCAAGCAUUCCACACGGGGGAUAGGGAACCUGGCCGUAUCCCACACUGAGACCUCGAACUGGGACCCCAGAACCUCAGCCCAGCUGUCCAGAUCAAGAGGUGCAGGAUGCCAGGAGAAUGUGGAUGCUCUGGGGACAGGGACUGGUACGCUGGACAUAACCCCAGGAUAGGCAUCCCAGCACCUGCGCCAAGCCCCCGUGCAGAACCCUGGCUCAGAUGCCAGAACUGGGAGCCCAGCCCUUCAGACUGGGAUGGGAAGACAAUGGGGACAGAUCCAGCAUAGGCACCAGGUCGGGUCCCUGCUGCCCAAGGCCCAGCUCUGCCCCAUGGCACAGAGUCCAAGGGGAUGCAGGUGGUGAGGAGCAGCCUUCCAGCCCUGUUUGCCUGGCACUGGUGCAUUUGUGCAGCCCAGGCUGUGGUGACAGGGAGCCAAGGCACAGGCACACUCUAUUUUUUCCCACCUUGCUAAUUAAACCAACCAGAAAUAGGUCAGUCUGUUUCCAUCCGCAGGCUAUAGUGAGUACUCAACAGAUUGAAGACUUUAUUGCAUGAGGAUUUCUUUUUCCUUUGUCCACACUGACUCUCCCAUGUGUUUCAUCUACAGAGCACUUCAGUUUCAAAUGCUGCAGCCACGAACCCCUCACAUUUCACAGGAAAAAAACCUUCCAGUCUCAACAGAAGAAACUUAUCAAGUACUACCCACUGACCUCCUGCUUAUCAUUGUGGUUUCUUCCAUUUCCUGCCCACUUUGGCCUUUCCAAUUGCCAGUCUUUUCCAUUUUAAAUUUUAUUUAUAUCAUGAUGUCAUCCACAGUGAGCUGAAAAGAAGAAAGGCUUGGUGUAACGGCAGCAACUUCUUGAGCAAGAACCAUUGCAAAAGAGGAUAUCACACCACAUUAAUACUCUAGAGUAAUAAGCCAAAGAGUGACAUCCAUGACAGACUUUUUAUGAUCACAAGUAACUGUCUCUCUUCUGGGAUUGAGCAGUCCUGCCAGGCCCAGUCUCAAGCUGUGCUUGGGCAGAUGACUCAGAAGAGCCCCUUCUGCAGGAGCUGUGCCUGUUGUGAAGGGGCUGUGCCCGUUCUGCUGUGCCCGUUUUGCAGGAGCCGUGCCCGUUCUGCUGUGCCCGUUGUGCAGGAGCCGUGCCCGUUCUGCUGUGCCCGUUGUGCAGGAGCCGUGCCUGUUCUGCUGUGCCCGUUGUGCAGGAGCCGUGCCUGUUCUCGCUCCCAGCGCCGGCCCGACAUUGCCAUCGCCCGGCCCAGCCCCGCAGUGCAGCGCGCUCGCCUUCCCGGCCGGGAGAUGCGGGAAUGUGCAAAACCCUCCUGCUCCCCAGGCAGCUCCUCGGGUGCCUGCUCAACCUCCAGGUGCCACCCGGCUGGUGACAGGAGCAGCGCUGCGGGGAGCGAUGAGGGCACUGAUGCAUUUUUAACGUGGUGCUGCCAGACCCGAGUCAAGAACGCACUGGAAAAGCCCAGUUUUAAAAGUGAGCAUCACGAUGUCAGAGCCUAAAAAGCAGAACACCUAAAGAAGUGGCAAUUACAUUACCUAAGAAAUGGAAUUCACAGGCAGUGUUGCCCCCUCCCAGUAUGUGACAAAGCUGUACAAUCCGAUUUUUUUGUUUUUUCAAAGUGCAUCUUUUAGGCCAAGCUGACAGUAACUCCCCAUUUUAAUGCAGGGUACUAGAAUAGAUUUAAACACCCGGUAUUUCAGGGUAUCCAUUUCCCCUCCAUUCUCUUUAAAUAAAAUUUUUCAAGUUCUUUUCCCUGCCUCCCUCCAUGACUGCUACGCACAGAUCCAGCUCAGAAGCUCAGCUCAGUAACCACCACACAGAAAGAAUCUAUGCUAGAAGGGGUGAAAUUGUACAUUUACCAGUGGAGAUGUUGCUCUGUGCUGAAAGUGCUUUUUAGCAGGUGUGCACUUCAAAAUAAAAUCACAGCAAUCAA